rnacentral:lncRNA from 10 species
GCAUGCAGGUGAGAAGGGAAGAUACAUGUAAUCUGCAUGUCUGCCACCAUUCCUUGUUACCCUUUUUCAUAUCCCAUGAGCACAGCACUCCAGCGGACCUACCCAAAAUAUGUGGGAGUUCAGUGAAACUCAAACAGCAUGCUUCUGGUCAGCCUAUACAGUCUCUGUCCUGGUGAGGAGCAUGAUCACCAACAGGCAAGAUCUUCUGGCCUUGAAGUUUCGCUUGAGUUAAAAGAGCUCAUCUCAGGACUUUCUGAAUUUUCAGCCCAUAUGACAUGGAAGAAGAGUUAGAAGGGGAAUCUGACUGCUUGGAUCAGGGACUGUCUGGCUGGUGGAACUUGAAUAGAUGUACAGUGCGCCACUCUGAGGAUCAAGUCUGACCCUGCCUUUAAAUUUGGAUUCAAAGUACUUAGAUUUUCUGGAAUCCCAUUCUACAAUCUUCUGGUCGAAAGUAUAAAACCAGCAUUGGCCAGCUUGAGAAAUAAAGGGACAGAGUACAAAAGAGAGAAAUUUUAAAGCUGAGCAUCUGGGGGAGACAUCACAUGUCGUCUGCAGGUGUACCCAACAGCUCCGAAGAGACAGUGACAUCGAGAACGGGCCAUGAUGACGAUGGCGGUUUUGU